rnacentral:rRNA from 1 species
UGAGGAAUAUUGGACAAUGGACGAAAGUCUGAUCCAGCCAUGCCGCGUGCAGGAUGACUGCCCUAUGGGUUGUAAACUGCUUUUGUAUAGGAAGAAACACUCCCACGUGUGGGGGCUUGACGGUACUAUACGAAUAAGGAUCGGCUAACUCCGUGCCAGCAGCCGCGGUAAUACGGAGGAUCCAAGCGUUAUCCGGAAUCAUUGGGUUUAAAGGGUCCGCAGGCGGUUUUUUAAGUCAGAGGUGAAAGCCAACAGCUCAACUGUUGAAAUGCCUUUGAUACUGAAAGACUUGAGUUAUUGUGAAGUGGUUAGAAUGUGUAGUGUAGCGGUGAAAUGCUUAGAUAUUACAC